GAAAAGUGUGAAAAUUCAAGGAAACAAGUGAAAAAGGUGGUGAAUCCUCCGCUAAGGGCAAAGAAAUUAUACUCGAGGAUCGAUAGUCAGAGUACUCUAGAAAUUUGACUUUCGAAAUAGCUCAAAAUAGGCUGUAGAUAGCUGAUUUCAUUGAGGCCACUAUCGGAUUUGCAUCCUUCAAACUGUAGGUUCACAGUCCUCCUUACUUUUGGUUA